GUUGGGUAGGGGAGCGUUCUGUAAGCCUGCGAAGGUGUGCUGUGAGGCAUGCUGGAGGUAUCAGAAGUGCGAAUGCUGACAUAAGUAACGAUAAAGCGGGUGAAAAGCCCGCUCGCCGGAAGACCAAGGGUUCCUGUCCAACGUUAAUCGGGGCAGGGUGAGUCGACCCCUAAGGCGAGGCCGAAAGGCGUAGUCGAUGGGAAACAGGUUAAUAUUCCUGUACUUGGUGUUACUGCGAAGGGGGGACGGAGAAGGCUAUGUUGGCCGGGCGACGGUUGUCCCGGUUUAAGCGUGUAGGCUGGUUUUCCAGGCAAAUCCGGAAAAUCAAGGCUGAGGCGUGAUGACGAGGCACUACGGUGCUGAAGCAACAAAUGCCCUGCUUCCAGGAAAAGCCUCUAAGCAUCAGGUAACAUCAAAUCGUACCCCAAACCGACACAGGUGGUCAGGUAGAGAAUACCAAGGCGCUUGAGAGAACUCGGGUGAAGGAACUAGGCAAAAUGGUGCCGUAACUUCGGGAGAAGGCACGCUGAUAUGUAGGUGAAGUCCCUCGCGGAUGGAGCUGAAAUCAGUCGAAGAUACCAGCUGGCUGCAACUGUUUAUUAAAAACACAGCACUGUGCAAACACGAAAGUGGACGUAUACGGUGUGACGCCUGCCCGGUGCCGGAAGGUUAAUUGAUGGGGUUAGCGCAAGCGAAGCUCUUGAUCGAAGCCCCGGUAAACGGCGGCCGUAACUAUAACGGUCCUAAGGUAGCGAAAUUCCUUGUCGGGUAAGUUCCGACCUGCACGAAUGGCGUAAUGAUGGCCAGGCUGUCUCCACCCGAGACUCAGUGAAAUUGAACUCGCUGUGAAGAUGCAGUGUACCCGCGGCAAGACGGAAAGACCCCGUGAACCUUUACUAUAGCUUGACACUGAACAUUGAGCCUUGAUGUGUAGGAUAGGUGGGAGGCUUUGAAGUGUGGACGCCAGUCUGCAUGGAGCCGACCUUGAAAUACCACCCUUUAAUGUUUGAUGUUCUAACGUGGACCCGUAAUCCGGGUUGCGGACAGUGUCUGGUGGGUAGUUUGACUGGGGCGGUCUCCUCCUAAAGAGUAACGGAGGAGCACGAAGGUUGGCUAAUCCUGGUCGGACAUCAGGAGGUUAGUGCAAUGGCAUAAGCCAGCUUGACUGCGAGCGUGACGGCGCGAGCAGGUGCGAAAGCAGGUCAUAGUGAUCCGGUGGUUCUGAAUGGAAGGG
rnacentral:rRNA from 1 species